UUCCUUUUCAGUCUUGAGUGUUUCAACAUCUCUUCUCUCGAGUGAGAUCAACUCUUCUGCCAAAGACCUCAGCAGGUCAUCUGUGAGAGGUCCAUCGCCAACCUCAUCUAGAAAGCUGUGGUACACAGUUCAAAUAGAUUUCUGCAAGACACUGCCAAGAUUCAUUGUAUAUAAUGAUGAGUAAGAAGUGUGAGAGCACCUGACCUUCAUCCCGUCUGAAUCUGGUGUGCAACAGCCACGUGUAGGAGAGCAGCUGGGGAGUACAGAAGGACUCAUUGGCCAAUAAGAUGCCUCCAGACACAAUCCAUUAUAUGGAAGAGUUCUUCCUUCUUGGUGCUCUUGAUCUGAGAGGCGUACCACAGAGCAGUAUGACCUCUUCCAUCAAGGAUCUUCUUAUCACUGGAAAUCAGAGCAGGUUGAUACUCCCACGGUGUCUCAAGUCCUUCAAACAGAUCCACAUCCCUUACAGCCAGCAUCAGUGGGGGGGCCAAUACUGAUCCAUCAGAGAACUCCCUAUGGAGUCUAGCCUGCUUUGUGCGAACCUAAGGUUGAUAUCGCAUUACUAACAGUCAAACUGCAAGUGGAAGUUGAAGUCUGAGCUGCUCACCAUCAGGUCCUGUAGACAGCAGAGGUCUCCCCUCCAGGCUGCUAGUGAGAGCUGCUUCUGAUGGGUAAGACCCGUUCUGCAGGCAGUGAUGAGAGGAGUGGAGCCCUGUGAAUCAUGAGGCAGGUCAAGCUCUUCCCAGGCGUAGACUCCCUGCUCCAGUCCCAGAGCCACAGCCUCAAGCUCGUCCUUCAACAGCUGCUCGACAAAUCUGCUUCUUUCAUGUUUACUCAUGCUCCAGUGUUCUGGCAGAUGCACAAACAGAAAAUGAGCUGCAGUUCUGAUGCACUAACUGUAAUGAAUGUCUUCAAUAUUCACAGCAUGCACAAGAACUGCUUUGUUGCCCCCUUGUGGUUGUGUUUAUGAUGAAGACAAUGCACGGUCUCAGUACUGUUUAAGUGCAAGGACAUUUUAUGUAUUUUUAAAGAUAUUUUUAUAUCUUUAAUAAAUUGUAAAUGUUUGCUUUUGAA